CAGAAAGCCCCUAUAAAAAGUCGUAUUUCAAAUAGAGGCCCUAAGAAUUGCCCCGUCCUCAAUCCUAACCCAAAACCCAAACAACAGCGAGAAGAAAGAAGCAAAGAAACAAACAUCUAGAACCAUCAAAACCCAAAAAGGGUCGUGUGUGAAUUUGUGCAUACAAAUCAAUGGGGGAAGAAGGGUCGAAGAAAAGGGUAGUUGUGGAAUCAUUAGGAUGGCUAACAGAAUCCACCAUCAUGCCCAAAAAGAUCCGACCAAUUGAAGGCGUAGGUGCUUCUUCAAUCCUUGAACUUAAAGCCCAGUUAUACAAAUCUCAAGAAGAAUCCAAACGUGUUGCUAAAGAGACCAAUCUCCCUUGUGCUGCUGACCCGAAUUAUUCGCAUCUGGAUAUCCACCGGGCCAAGAAAAAGAUAGCUGCUAAGAAUGCCUAUUCGGCUAAGAAUCCUGGGGUUGAUGCUAGAGAGGCUAAGGACAAGCUUGAGAUGAAAGCAAUUAAAGAUGGAUCAGUAAGCUAUGCUGCCUUAGAACGAAAGGCUAAGCUAUAUGAUAAGCUGGUGAGGGGUGAGCUUUCUGACGGGGAGGACGAAGAGAAGUACUGUGUUGAUUUCUUUCGGAAGGGGCAGGAUCAGGGAGACUCUGAGCAGCUUCAACAGCAUGACACUUCUAACCCUGAUCCAAGAGAUGAAGAUGGAGAUGAUGAUGCCUCCCUACUAUCAGACACAAAAGCUGCAGGACUUGGCCGCCAAGCUGGCACAUUCGACAGAAGUGAACAUAAGCGUUUUGUAAUGGAAGUUCAUAAAGAAGCAAGUCAAGCAAGGGAAAAAGCAUCAGAACUCAAGCUCCGUAGGGAAGAACAAGUUGCAGCACGUCGAGAAAAACUAAAGCAGGCUUAUCUCCGCAAGCAGAUUGAGAAAUUGAAGGCUUCCAAGUCAGAGCAGACAUAGACUAGAGGGCUUUCCAUAAACUUCAUGGUGAUUGGUGACACCAUUCUAUUUGGAAGAAUUCGUCAUCUUUUACAUUAUGGAGUAUUGUAUGUGCAGAAAAUUUUCACCAGAAUAUAAGCUUCAGGUUUAUUGUAGUCACCAAAUAACACCGGGAGAUUAUAGGUUUCCUACUGACUGACAUCAUGAAGAAUGGGUGUUUUGGGCCUCAACAGUUGUGUCUGUUAUUUACCUUCACAAUUGACAAUCAUUCAAAAAAAUUGAAGUGCGUUUCAGAAUAUCAUUUGUUGUCCUUGGCAUGACGGAUUGCAUUCAGAACAUAAUAAAAGCUGCUACAAUUGCAUGGUAACCUGGAGUGCAAAAAGAAGCGGCAAAUGCUGUCAUAAUGUUUCCCACAAAACAUGUUUGCUACAUGGGGCAAAACUUUUCUUUUUCAGAACCUCAUGAGUGAGGCAAUCUUCUCUACUCAUAAUCCAUGUAAAGAAAGCUACCUCCGAUGGAGUUUUGGAUCUCCAGAUUUGCUUCCAUGACCAAGGACUUGGACUCUGUUAGUGUUCUGUAUCCAUGUUAUGCUCCUGUGUUAUUUAGUUGCUGAUAUGUGUAAAAGACUGAAGAAUUCAGCAGCCGUAUUUACCUCCCAACCGUUCGAAUUUCUUCUUAGGUGCUUUUGAGGUUGGAAGUUUAAAUCUCUGCUUCAUUUGAACAAGCCUGAGGUUAGUGAUCGCAAAGCAUCAGCGUUGGCAACUUAAUGGCGGGAUGCAUCUUGCACCUUGAAGUUGUGGACUUUCUUAGAAGGGACCAAGUAGUUUCAAGUUUCAGUGCAGCUAUAUCAUCGAGUGGAGAGCUCAAUUGUUAUAUCAAGAAUGCUCCAAUGUAGGAAAAAUUUGUGAAGGUUCCCCUGAUUUCGUUGCCUGUGUAUCAUUUACAAGCAAAUGUUUUGUAAUUUGGCGGAAAAAAUAAUUCUUGAAUGUCUCAUAUUUUUACUGACUAGAGAAAAGAAAAAUGUUCGUUAUUAUAGUGUUUAGGCAUGUGCUAAUGCUGAGGCCAAAUUCAGCGGAUAUUGUACUUUUUGAUGCGCAAAAGGAUGGAUAAAUUGGAAAUGCUGUAGCAUGCAAAAAUGGAAACCGACUCCACUGGGGAUCGAACCCAGAAUCUCUGGUUUCGUAGACCAGCGCCUUAUCCAUUGGGCCAUGGAGUCUUUGAUGGUACAACAUUUUCCUUUUCCAUAAUUAUUCCUCUACCCCCACCCAUCGUUCCCUAGAGCUUUAAAGGUAUUUAUUACUAUAAUGUUAUUUUCAAAUAGGUUAAUGAAAAUCAUUUUUCAUGUCUUGCUUGUGAUUUGUGAAUUUGGAGAAUAAUGAAAUAUAAUGCUAAUAAUAGCGCAAGAAUAAUGUACUACUUCUAACAUUAGCCUAAUACAUAUAAUAGCGCAAAAUAAUGUAGCAUGUCAUUCUAUUAUCAUACACACAUUCAAGAGAAAUUGACAUUAGAUUAUAUUGUGGUGAUCUGAUAGGCGAAAAACGAAAGAGAAAAAUUAAUUACGGGAAAUGGAAAUCCUAUUAAGCCACUAUUAGUAGUAAUACUCAUUGUUUCAAAUAAAAUUAUUAUGCAAUCAAAAACUUCCACAUCAUUUGGGCGAGUCGGUGCAAGUUGUGGGUAUAUAUAUAUAACUUCACCGAAAAAGGCUAAAGCAAGCAGGCAUUCGACAAAUCACUCGCACAGGUCUCUUUAUCAGUUCCAAUUCAUCUCCAAAUGCCUGACUCGUAUUUACGGCGGAGGCCGGUGGAGCGGCUAAGAGAGAUAGAAGUUCUCAUAUAUUCUGCAGUGGACCUGAAAAACGUGAAGCACUUGACCAAGAUGAGAACCUACGCCGAAGUCUACGUAGAGAGGAACGUCCAAGUGGCAAAAACCAAGGUAGCAGAGCACAACGACAACGACGGGACAAACCCCAUUUGGAACCAGGUAGUAAAGGUGAAGUUCCACGAAAAGUUGCUUGAAAACGACAUCAUGGCAGCCUUAAACGUGGACAUUUACGCUCACGGCCACCUUAGAGAGAAGCCUGUAGGGAGUGCCCGAGUUUUGCUAUCGGAUGUAUUGAAGGGCGGUGGAGAUACCUCAGAGCUGCUUUUGGAGAUUAAUCCUAUACAGUUCUUGGCGGUGCAAGUUUGGAGACCUUCUGGAAGGCCACAAGGAUUGAUUCAUCUGUGGGUGCCACCUACAGGGAGGUUCUUGGUUCCAGUGAAGUCGUUGUCGUUUAGUUUGAGAGGCAGAGAUGGGGACGAGGAGGUGGUAAUGGUGGACACACCGGUGGAGAACGGUGAAGGAGGGGGCAGUGUCAGUGAGGUGUAGGGCUCUUUCUGUGCAUGGAUGACAUUUGGUGUUGCUCUUCUUUCCUUCUGUUUUUUCUUUUAGUACGUAUUUCGUUCUUGUCUACUUGUUCAUAUUUUAACAAUAAAUAAAAUGAUGAUUUUCCUA